rnacentral:rRNA from 1 species
UACGUAGGGGGCGAGCGUUGUCCGGAUUUAUUGGGCGUAAAGAGCGUGUAGGCGGCCAGGUAGGUCUGCUGUGAAAACUCGAGGCUCAACCUCGAGACGUCGGCGGAAACCAUCUGGCUAGAGUCCGGAAGAGGAGAGUGGAAUUCCUGGUGUAGCGGUGAAAUGCGCAGAUAUCAGGAAGAACACCCGUGGCGAAGGCGGCUCUCUGGGGACGGUACUGACGCUGAGACGCGAAAACGUGGGGGAGCGAACAGG